GUGCUCACUUUGACAGCACAUAUACUAAGAUUGUAAGUAUACAGAAAUUAGCAUGGCCUUGCACAAGGAUGACAUGCAAAUUUGUGCAAUGUUCCAUAUUAUU
rfam:Otolemur garnettii contig186685, whole genome shotgun sequence.